UACGAAGGGGGCUAGCGUUGUUCGGAAUCACUGGGCGUAAAGGGUGCGCAGGCGGAUUUGUAAGUCAGAGGUGAAAGCCUGGAGCUCAACUCCAGAACUGCCUUUGAGACUGCAUCGCUCGAAUCCGGGAGAGGUGAGUGGAAUUCCGAGUGUAGAGGUGAAAUUCGUAGAUAUUCGGAAGAACACCAGUGGUGAAGGCGGCUCACUGGACCGGUAUUGACGCUGAGGUGCGAAAGCGUGGGGAGCAAACAGG
rnacentral:rRNA from 1 species